rnacentral:lncRNA from 1 species
ACCCACCACAGGACAUUAGAAUCAGAGUAACUUUAGCCAACAAUCUGAGACACUUGGCAUAAAGUUCAUUCUAAAUCUAACAGUUCCCUGCUCUCAGGAAGCCCUCUGGGCUUCCGGUGCCUCUGGCCUUCCUUCCCGGCUCUUCUGUGGAGGCUAGCUUCCUCCAAGCUGACCCCCAGGGAGCUGCCUUCUCUUAGGUGGAAAGCAAAGAGCAAUGGAGACACAAUGGAUGUACUCAGGACCUGUACCAGAGGUGGCAGGAGGACACCACUGAGCCCUGCUCCACCCACCGCAGCCUCGAGACCCUCUGCGCGGGGAUGCUGACCCCUGCUGGCCACCUGAGAGAUUGCAGCAUGGCCGACUCCCAAGGGGAAAAGGAGUGAGAGGAGAAGGGCUAUGGAGCCCAAAUGACUUCAGCAUGCCUCUAGGACCUGCCUGAACCAUUGUCCCAACCAACCGACUCCAAACCUGAACCUCAGAGGCCUCCUCAUGCAGACAGAUGAUUGCUGACCUACCUCUGGGGUAGUCAGCUGAAAUACCCCAGAGAUAUUCAGGGCCUAAUUCCAGGAACCUGAGGAAGUUUCUUUAAAUGGCAAAAGAAACCUCGAGUGUGUUACCCUAGAUUAUUUAGGUAAAUUCUACAUGUAAUCAGGUGUAUCACCAAAGGGGAGCUGAGGUAAAGGAAUAUUUAUUUCACUACAGAACAGAAGGCGAGCCACCUUGCAGGAGGAGAGGAGGAGAGGGUGAGGAGGGAGCAGAUUGCCUCUGCAGUACCCAGAGUCUUUGCUGACACACGGAUUUGGACCAAUGAAACUAAUCCCAAACUCUGAUGUCAAGGACUUUAAAAGAAUAAAUGUGUGCUGUUUUG